AGCUUUGCGCAAUGGCAGUAUCGUAGCCAAUGAGGUUUAUCUGAGGCGAGAUUAUUGCUAAUUGAAAGCUUUUCCCAAUACCUCACUGUGACGACUUGCAAUACAGUCGGCACUGGUAAUUUUUGACUGUCUCUACAGAGA
ensembl:snRNA U4 U4 spliceosomal RNA